AUAUCAAUAAGCGGAGGACAAGAAACCAACCGGGAUUGCCCCAGUAACGGCGAGUGAAGCGGCAACAGCUCAAAUUUGAAAUCUGGCCCCGGAGCGGGGUCCGAGUUGUAAUUUGAAGAGGAUGCUUCGGCGUUUGGCCCCGCGUCAGGUUCCUUGGAACAGGACGUCGUAGAGGGUAAGAGCCCCGUACAGACCCGGGUCGCCAGCGCCGUGUGAAGCUCCUUCGACGAGUCGAGUUGUUUGGGAAUGCAGCUCCAAGCGGGAGGUAAAUUUCUUCUAAGGCUAAAUAUCGGCCGGAGACCGAUAGCGCACAAGUAGAGUGAUCGAAAGAUGAAAAGCACUUUGGAAAGAGAGUUAAACAGCACGUGAAAUUGUUGAAAGGGAAGCUCUUGCUACCAGACUUGCCCGCGCGCGCUCCGCCCCCGGCUCGCCGGGGGGUCACUCGCGCGCGGGCGGGCCAGCAUCAGCUCGGGCGGCCGGAUAAAGGCGGCGGGAAUGUAGCCCCCUUCGGGGGGUGUUAUAGCCCGCCGUGCCAUGCGGCCUGCCCGGGCUGAGGACCGCGGCUUUCGAGGAUGCUGGCGUAAUGGUCGCAAGCGACCCGUCUUGAAACACGGACCAAGGAGUCUAACAUCUGUGCGAGUGUUUGGGCGUUAAACCCAUGCGCGUAGUGAAAGCAAACGGAGGUGGGAACCCUCUCUCGCGGGGGGCGCACCAUCGACCGAUCCUGAUGUCUUCGGAUGGAUUUGAGUAGGAGCAUAGCUGUUGGGACCCGAAAGGUAUGUAACAAAGCUUUUGGCAAAUGCGAUUACAGCGUACUAACCCCCCUCGCAGAUGGUGAACUAUGCCUGAAUAGGGUGAAGCCAGAGGAAACUCUGGUGGAGGCUCGCAGCGGUUCUGACGUGCAAAUCGAUCGUCGAAUUUGGGCAUAGGGGCGAAAGACUAAUCGAACCRU
rnacentral:rRNA from 1 species